GUCACAAAUUCUCAAACUUAGCCUCUCAAAUCUCAUAGGACUACUCUUUUCUAUCAAGGCCGAUAGAUCCUAUUUUGAUGCACACCCUCCUCCUACAGUAGACCAACUAUCACCAACAGCUACUACAAGGGCUCAUUAAGACCUAUGUUUAUGUGUCAAUCAAACUCUAGCAGCCACACUGCGAGCAGCAAUGCCAUCUC
rnacentral:lncRNA from 1 species